rnacentral:lncRNA from 1 species
UUAAGGUAGAGGACAAAAAGAAUGGCUAUCAAUUCAAUUUCACUGGUAUAUAUGCUUCAAAUAGUAUGCAAGAAAGAAAUACUCUUUGGUCUGACCUGACUAAUAUUGUAAAUGGCUGUCUCAAUGUACCUUGGAUUGUUCUUGGAGACUUUAAUACUGUUCGGUACACAAAUGAAAAAGAGGGGGGUAGACAACUUUCAGAAA